rnacentral:rRNA from 1 species
CCUACGGGGGGCAGCAGUGGGGAAUAUUGCACAAUGGGGGAAACCCUGAUGCAGCGACGCCGCGUGAGCGAAGAAGUAUUUCGGUAUGUAAAGCUCUAUCAGCAGGGAAGAAAAUGACGGUACCUGAGUAAGAAGCUCCGGCUAAAUACGUGCCAGCAGCCGCGGUAAUACGUAUGGAGCAAGCGUUAUCCGGAUUUACUGGGCGUAAAGGGAGCGUAGGCGGCCUGCCAAGUCUGAUGUGAAAUACCGGGGCUCAACCCCGGGGCUGCAUUGGAAACUGGCAGGCUGGAGUGCCGGAGAGGCAG